rnacentral:rRNA from 1 species
CAGUAGCCACGGUAAUACGUAGGGUGCGAGCGUUAAUCGGAAUUACUGGGCGUAAAGCGUGCGCAGGCGGCUUUGCAAGACAGAUGUGAAAUCCCCGGGCUCAACCUGGGAACUGCAUUUGUGACUGCAAGGCUAGAGUACGGUAGAGGGGGAUGGAAUUCCGCGUGUAGCAGUGAAAUGCGUAGAUAUGCGGAGGAACACCAAUGGCGAAGGCAAUCCCCUGGACCUGUACUGACGCUCAUGCACGAAAGCGUGGGGAGCAAAUGGGAUUAGAUACCCCAGUAGUCCCUGUCUCUUAUAC